AACGUAGGGGACAAGCGUUAUCCGGAUUUACUGGGCGUAAAGCGCCCGUAGGCGGCCUGACAAGUUGGACGUGAAAGCUCCUGGCUUAACUGGGAGAGGCCGUUCAAAACUGUCAAGCUAGAGUCUGGAAGAGGAGAGCGGAAUUCCCGGUGUAGUGGUGGAAUGCGUAGAGAUCGGGAGGAACACCAGUGGCGAAGGCGGCAUCCUGGACUGGUCCUGACACUCAGGAGCGAAAGCGUGGGGAGCGAACAGG
rnacentral:rRNA from 1 species